UCCUGCUCCAUCUUCUGGCUCUCUUCUAGCAUCGUUUACAAAGUAGCAUUCUUGGGUCUGUAUGGACACGACUGAAACGUGACCAGCCCUCUGCAACCACGAUGAUAUCGCCACAAUGCAGAACUGCUGCAGGCCUCAGAAGCCUAAAGUUAGGAUUAACAUUUGACCUUUGAUGUAAUGCCAUCUGCUCUGCUGCUCACCAGAGAGUAAACGUCCAUCACCGUCGAGGGAGUCUGAACGUCCUGCUCCUUGGGCCGUAACAGAGUAGGGAUAACAGUGAAGAUUUUUUUUUCUUUUGCAAGUAAAAUGAAACACAUUUUUUGAACUUGUUUAUACUGUGAACAACAUCAAUUUCUUUGAGCUUGUCAAAUAUGUUAGGGCUUGUAUUUACAAAAACAUUUACAAAGUGUGUUUUUGGGUGGUGUGUUUUUUGGGUGGUCAAAAUAAUUUGACUAAUGAAUGAUGGCACAAGGGUUGACUCCUCUGUGUGAUCACUCACUGGAAUCAAAUCAAAUCAGGUCUUACUUGUCACAUCAUUUUCAAAGUCUUUAUUUACAUCUGACUUUAGUAAAAUAAUACACGAAAAGGAAAAAGCAGAUAUCAACUACUUGUGUUGAUAAACAAUAAAUACAUAAAAAAUCUAAACUA